AUUCUAUGGUGAGGACAUUUUCACAACAACUCCUUGAACCGCUCCCAUGCCUCAUAUAAAGAUUCUUCAUCAAGUUUUUGGAAUGAAGUAAUCUCAUUGCGGAGCUU